GAGGAUUUGUGGUUGAAAGAUUUGUGAGCCUGUAAUCAAGUACGAACAACGGGUAACAUUUAAAUCUCUUCGUGGAAUCAACUCUGGAUUGAGAUGUACUUUGAUGCGUUUAGGUGGUUUUGUGAAGAACAAUCAUGCUUUCAUCCAAAAUAAUGAAGACUGUCACAAGUGCUUAGAUAACUAAAAGAAACAACACAUAAAUCCAAAGUACCCCAUACAUUUUUCCAGCACAACUGCUCUAUCAAAAGAAAUUUGACCUAGCCGGAAGUUAUUUGGUUUAGUUAUGGAACGGCCUGAGUGUAAUAAAGUUCUGUUCUGUACUACCUCUACAGUUUUUGUUGAUCCAUGUAUUAAUAGUAGGAAGGUAACUAGUAUUUGUGUGUGUGUGUGUAUUGGGGGGGGGGGGGGGGGGGGGGCAGAUGAAUUAUUGGAA